AUGCACAUGCAGGGGCACUCGGAAGAGUUGAGAUGGCACGAUGUCACGACGGCAUCAGGUCAGUCCCUUCGAACCUGUUGGUUAAGACCAUCGUAGGGAGACAUGAAAUGUCUGAUU
rnacentral:ncRNA from 1 species